CCCAUGUCUACACACUCACUCUCCCUCUGGACUGGCUUCCUUGCCUCAGCUCCCUCUCAUGUGUUGGAACCCUGCUAGUGUCAUUCUAUUCAGUUUUUUGCCCAUGAUCUGAUGACCUACGUUUCUGGCUUGUAAUUGAGAACAAACCAGCUUGAUGACGCCGGUUACCCAGUCGGGUAAACCACAGAACACUGAACUGACUGUGAUAAAGGCCUCUGCUCUACAACAAUCCCAAACUUAUUUAAAGGAUGCGUAACAGAUUCCUGAAUUUAGUCUCUGUCCAUGAAAAGCACAUGAGGGAGACAUCGAACAUCAAAAUCUGGAUCCACAGCUGCAGCUCUAGCAUCUUUCUGCUGUUCUUCUUUCUAAUAACAGAGAACAUGAAACUGAUGUUGCAAACCAUUAAUCAUCUAUCUUGUCACUCACC